GGAUUUGGAGAGCAGAAGGGAAGCAGCAGCCACUUUGUAGCUCACCUGUUGACUCACUUGGUGUGAGCCAGCAGCUGAGUGAAAUGGUUCUAUCUUCCCCUAGAUCCUCUUUAGCUUCUCCAACUCCUGGGCCAGCUGGGUAUAUGCUUUGCUUUGCAGCAAAGGGUUUCAGCUUCCGCAGGAUUCCUGCAUCACCAAGUGGGACGCUGCGAGACCUUACACAAGUUUCAGUUCAUCCUCGUGAGCUCCAGCUUAUACUUAAGGGUUCCUGCUUGCUCUUACUCUACCCACUUUGUAUUAGUUUUCCCUUCUAUAUUCUUGUGCUGUGGACUUCAAGCUCCGGUAUCAGGUCUGAAGACAGCAACCUUAAAAAUGUUGGUUAAUGAGCUCCCACAACCGAAUACAAAGAGAGAGAGAGAUUUCUAUAAGAAAAGAAAAGAAGAUUUCUAUAAACUGAAAUGAUCUGAGAAUGGUUCAUCACAAAGGGCUGAAGAGACAACAGGAGCAGGUCACAGAACAAGAGUAAAAGAAGCUGUGCGUUCAGCAGGAGCUAGAACUCUGGAUAGAAAGGUAUCCAACAGGAUCUGGAAUCUUGGAGAAGCCGCAACCACACAUAGAGGUGCUUUCUGAAAUAGCAACUCCAUCUAGCAAUUCAAUUGGCCAAAUCAACUUGGAAGAGUCAGCUUGGCAAUUGAGCCUAUGAAAUACAACUGCAGUAUCCAGCCUAUCUGAGAUACAGAAUAAAGAAAUACUGAGGAGUAUAUCUGAGAGAAAAGAGACAAAUGACCUGAUCAGUUCACAUUUUAAAAAUCUUUCUGUAUCCAUUUCACCACUGUACUUUAACUCCCAAACGAUACAUCAUUCUUUGCCUAAUUUGAUGCAACUAUAUUUCAUGACACACAACUACUCUUCCUCUUUCCCCAAAGUCUCAUCAGUUACUGCAUUAAUUUCAAUAGUCCUCAAUCUCCAGGUGAUAUGAAGGCUUCCCCGUCAGAGCCACGUGUAGCUUCUUGUGGUCUUGUGACAUAUGGACUAAACUAUAAAUUUAAACAUCACUCAUACUCUUCACACAACAAAACAGGACAAAAGGAAGAUGGAAGAAUAUAAUUCAUUACUAUACACAGGUUAAUGUAUACAGGUCUAUAGAAUCCCUUUCUCUCUCUUUCACACACACACACACAAAUAUGUAAAACUGCAGCAUUCCUCAUUUCCUCAUUUGUAUAAGUGGCUUUAAGGCUGUAGUGUUUUUGUCACUUCCUUUUCCUACCACUCAUUACAAGCCUCCUGUGCCCUAAGCCAGCACCUCAGUUGAUCACUUUUGUUUUUAAGCUCAUGAGAGUUAAAUUCAUUCUUAAAGGUCUACGUAUUUAGUAACCCGGGUUUUAUUGAAUUGAUGUACUUUUUACUCAGUGUUUGCUCCUGGACAUGACAGUAAUCAGGAGAGCCCCAGUGAAUCCUCUGGGUUGCACCUGUAGACCCCCAAUUGCAUUAGAGUAACAGCAACCCAAUUUCUCACUGAUAAUUGGAAUUAGUCAUCCCAACCAGGACGGACUGUGUUUUCAGCCUAUUGAACACCAGAGAAAUAGUGUAAAUACCUGAGAAAUGUAGGCUUGCGGUAAGAAUUUAUGGAAUCAUUCAAAAAACAAUGAAAGUUUCUAGCAAUGUGUGGGAGACUUUUGUUAGAACUGCUGUUGCUUAAGUGUGCAUAAUGACUCUGACAUUUAGAAUUAACCUUGAAAUUUCCUGACUUUGAAUUCCUUAUUAUUAAACCUUUAGUGUUGGUCUAGCAUAUCUUUCAUUUUGGAGGCAGUUAAAGCAGACAAAAAUUGUGUAAACAGAUAAAUAUUUUUCUUCAAAAAACAAAAGAUGAAAAUCUCUAGAGAUUUAGGAGAACUCUGUUAGCUGUGAAAAGCAUGGCUUGUGCAAACCUUAAUUGGUCCCUUUUAUUGACAGCCAUACGAAUUGCGUUAGCUUUAACUGUUGGCAUUAGCUGCAGCUCUCCUAAUUAUGUCUGCUUAAAAGUCACAGAGAGGAAUAUACUGGAUUCCAUCAGAAACAAGUCACUUAAAUAAAGACCAAAGAAAUGUCAUAAUUAAAUACACAUAAACCACUCAAACUGUCAAGGUAUGGUGAUUUUUGAUUCCAAAAAUUUUAGAAGUUAGUUUACAAAGAAUAAAAUUCAGUAUGAUUGCUUUUAAGUAAAAAUGGCUAUGUCUUUUUUUUCUUUCUUGGUAAAAAGCAAAAAGCAGAAUUUGAGAAAAGAGGCAUAUUGACAUUGAUGGGCUUCCUAGAAUUUUUGAGGAAAAUGGAUUUUUCAUUAGGUGAAUUACAUUUUAAAUGCCUUAGGGUGAGAGAAUUAUGCUUAACAAAUGCUUAAUCAAAGAAAAUCUCUCUAAUAUAAAUAACCGUUUCUUAAUGUUUUGUAAACUUUUUUUACAUGAAUUUUUCAUGAACUGAAAAAUACUAGUAAUCUGUAUAUUCUAAUUUAUAUGUGAUUUAGUUUUUACAUAUCAACCUUAAGGUUGCUUUCUAUUCCUCUUGAAUAUUCCUGUAUGUCUAGUGAACUCACAUGAGAUUGAAAUAAUGACCUUUAAUUAAGAGAUAAAAGGGUGCAUUUCCUAAAACAAAAACAUGGGGCAGAAUUAUUGAUUUGUUUGCCACCAGCUCAGCACAUUGGUUGAUGGUAUUGAUUACAGAAAUACUAACAAAUAAUGGGGCCAUAAAAAAAUUCUGCUGUCUAUUGCUGUAAUAUCAGUAUCAGGAGAUGCUGAAAACAGACAAACUGCCUUCAGGUCAUUUGAAAAUUACAACAAUCAUAUAUAUUUCGUCAGUGUUUUAUAGUAUAGCUGGGUUUUGUUUCUGGGUUUUUUCUUACUUUGUUCUUCAAUUUAAAAAUACAUUUCACAUUAGGAUAGUUGCAAUUUGUCUGAAACAUAUAGGCUUUAAGUACCAACGACUUAGAAUUUUGCUGCUACCAGAAAGAAUGAAAAUAUUAAUUUGAAAUAGCACUGCUUGAUUUCGUAAUGAUCUGUUGUUCUCUGCUGCUAAUUACAGAUUCCAGUAGGGGAAAAACUAUAAAAUGCAAACUUCUCCCCACUGCUCUCAGAUAUUCAUGAGUUUCAUUUUACUUCAUAAAUUUUAUAAAGUAGAAGACAAUGGUGCUAUAAAAACAGAUCUUGCAAAACCCUCAAUGUUAUACUGAAAUGCAAAAAAAAGAAAUUAAAAAACCCAAAUUUUGGACUGAGUAUGGAGAACCUAAAUGCAUUCCUAUAUCUAGACACGUUUUAUGUGAAGUCUUAUUCCAGGACUUGACCUCUCACGUUUCAGCUUUCUCCUUGUAAAAUGAAAGGUGUGACUUUAAAAGACUUCUGGGGAGAGUGUGUGUUUUAGUCAUCAGUGAAGAGAAAAUGCCCUUUGGAUUUAAAUAAACUUAGUUGAGUUUCUUCCUCUAUCACUUAGCAGCCUUUAUGGACUUCCGCUUAAUCUUGGGAAAGUUACAUUUUUCUAAGCCUCAGUUUGCUGUAUCUGUAACAAAGAGAUUUAAUUA
rnacentral:lncRNA from 1 species